AAUUAACAAUACAUCAAAUACAAGCGUCUGAUGCAGGAAACUACAGCUGUUACCCAGCAGCAAUAAGAUGGACAUUAACAAUAACAGACUGUUUGGUGUCGUCAGAAAAUCAGAUCAGACCAGAAUCACCCAAACAAAUGCUGUUGUACAUCAUCAUCAUCAUCAUCAUCUCAUGUUCUGGAGUCAUUAUGUUCUGUCUGAUCAUCACCAUAAGCAUCUGCAUUCAUAGGAAACUGAGACAGAAGAUCAGCUCUAGUUCAGAGGAUGUAAGUAUAUUUACCACAGAACAGCUUAUUAUUUAGCAACUAAAUCUGCUCUUGAUUUAGAGGUUCAACU